AUUGAACGCUGGCGGAAUGCUUUACACAUGCAAGUCGAACGGUAGAGGGGGCAACCCCUCGAGAGUGGCGAACGGGUGAGUAAUAUAUCGGAACGUGCCCAGUCGUGGGGGAUAACGUAGCGAAAGUUACGCUAAUACCGCAUACGAUCUAAGGAUGAAAGCGGGGGAUCGCAAGACCUCGCGCGAUUGGAGCGGCCGAUAUCAGAUUAGGUAGUUGGUUGGGUAAAGGCUCACCAAGCCAACGAUCUGUAGCUGGUCUGAGAGGACGACCAGCCACACUGGAACUGAGACACGGUCCAGACUCCUACGGGAGGCAGCAGUGGGGAAUUUUGGACAAUGGACACAAGUCUGAUCCAGCCAUUCCGCGUGCAGGAUGAAGGCCCUCGGGUUGUAAACUGCUUUUGUACGGAACGAAAAGGUCUCUCUUAAUACGGGGGGCUCAUGACGGUACCGUAAGAAUAAGCACCGGCUAACUACGUGCCAGCCGCCGCAGUAA
rnacentral:rRNA from 1 species